UACGGAGGAUGCGAGCGUUAUCCGGAUUUAUUGGGUUUAAAGGGUGCGUAGGCGGUCUCUUAAGUCAGCGGUCAAAGCCCGGGGCUCAACCCCGGCCCGCCGUUGAAACUGGGGGACUCGAGUUGGAGAGAAGCAGGCGGAAUGCGCGGUGUAGCGGUGAAAUGCAUAGAUAUCGCGCAGAACCCCGAUUGCGAAGGCAGCCUGCCGGCUCCACACUGACGCUGAGGCACGAAAGCGUGGGUAUCGAA
rnacentral:rRNA from 1 species